rnacentral:rRNA from 1 species
GAUGAACGCUGGCGGCGUGCCUAAUACAUGCAAGUCGAGCGAACAGAUAAGGAGCUUGCUCCUUUGACGUUAGCGGCGGACGGGUGAGUAACACGUGGGUAACCUACCUAUAAGACUGGGAUAACUUCGGGAAACCGGAGCUAAUACCGGAUAAUAUUUUGAACCGCAUGGUUCAAUAGUGAAAGAUGGUUUUGCUAUCACUUAUAGAUGGACCCGCGCCGUAUUAGCUAGUUGGUAAGGUAACGGCUUACCAAGGCAACGAUGCGUAGCCGACCUGAGAGGGUGAUCGGCCACACUGGAACUGAGACACGGUCCAGACUCCUACGGGAGGCAGCAGUAGGGAAUCUUCCGCAAUGGGCGAAAGCCUGACGGAGCAACGCCGCGUGAGUGAUGAAGGUCUUCGGAUCGUAAAACUCUGUUAUUAGGGAAGAACAAACGUGUAAGUAACUGUGCACGUCUUGACGGUACCUAAUCAGAAAGCCACGGCUAACUACGUG